GACGAACUGUCCUAGCGUUGUUCGGAAUUACUGGGCGUAAAGGGCGCGUCGGCGGCCUUCUAAGUCAGACGUGAAAUCCCCGGGCUCAACCCGGGAACUGCGUCUGAGACUGGAAGGCUCGAAUCCGGGAGAGGGAUGCGGAAUUCCAGGUGUAGCGGUGAAAUGCGUAGAUAUCUGGAGGAACACCGGUGGCGAAGGCGGCAUCCUGGACCGGCAUUGACGCUGAGGCGCGAAAGCCAGGGGAGCAAACGGG
rnacentral:rRNA from 1 species